GCUUAACACAUGCAAGUCGAGCGGUAAGGCCCUUCGGGGUACACGAGCGGCGAACGGGUGAGUAACACGUGGGUGAUCUGCCUCGCACUUCGGGAUAAGCCUGGGAAACUGGGUCUAAUACCGGAUAUGACCUGCUGUCGCAUGGCGGUGGGUGGAAAGAUUUAUCGGUGCGAGAUGGGCCCGCGGCCUAUCAGCUUGUUGGUGGGGUAAUGGCCUACCAAGGCGACGACGGGUAGCCGGCCUGAGAGGGCGACCGGCCACACUGGGACUGAGACACGGCCCAGACUCCUACGGGAGGCAGCAGUGGGGAAUAUUGCACAAUGGGCGAAAGCCUGAUGCAGCGACGCCGCGUGAGGGAUGACGGCCUUCGGGUUGUAAACCUCUUUCGACAGGGACGAAGCGCAAGUGACGGUACCUGUAGAAGAAGCACCGGCCAACUACGUGCCAGCAGCCGCGGUAAUACGUAGGGUGCGAGCGUUGUCCGGAAUUACUGGGCGUAAAGAGCUUGUAGGCGGUUUGUCGCGUCCUCCGUGAAAACUUGGGGCUCAACCCCAAGCUUGCGGGCGAUACGGGCAGACUUGAGUACUGCAGGGGAGACUGGAAUUC
rnacentral:rRNA from 1 species